UAGGUGAACCUGCGGAAGGAUCAUUAAAGAAAUUUAAUAAUUUUGAAAAUGGAUUUUUUUGUUUUGGCAAGAGCAUGAGAGCUUUUACUGGGCAAGAAGACAAGAGAUGGAGAGUCCAGCCGGGCCUGCGCUUAAGUGCGCGGUCUUGCUAGGCUUGUAAGUUUCUUUCUUGCUAUUCCAAACGGUGAGAGAUUUCUGUGCUUUUGUUAUAGGACAAUUAAAACCGUUUCAAUACAACACACUGUGGAGUUCUCAUAUCUUUGCAACUUUUUCUUUGGGCAUUCGAGCAAUCGGGGCCCAGAGGUAACAAACACAAACAAUUUUAUCUAUUCAUUAAAUUUUUGUCAAAAACAAGAAUUUUCGUAACUGGAAAUUUUAAAAUAUUAAAAACUUUCAACAACGGAUCUCUUGGUUCUCGCAUCGAUGAAGAACGCAGCGAAAUGCGAUACGUAAUGUGAAUUGCAGAAUUCCGUGAAUCAUCGAAUCUUUGAACGCACAUUGCGCCCCUUGGUAUUCCAGGGGGGCAUGCCUGUUUGAGCGUCAUUUCCUUCUCAAACAUUCUGUUUGGUAGUGAGUGAUACUCUUUGGAGUUAACUUGAAAUUGCUGGCCUUUUCAUUGGAUGUUUUUUUUCCAAAGAGAGGUUUCUCUGCGUGCUUGAGGUAUAAUGCAAGUACGGUCGUUUUAGGUUUUACCAACUGCGGCUAAUCUUUUUUUAUACUGAGCGUAUUGGAACGUUAUCGAUAAGAAGAGAGCGUCUAGGCGAACAAUGUUCUUAAAGUUUGACCUCAAAUCAGGUAGGAGUACCCGCUGACUUAAGCAUAUCAAUAAGCGGAGGAAAAGAAAUCAUCGGAUUGCCUAGUACGCGAGUGACAGGGA
rnacentral:rRNA from 1 species